UACGUAGGUCCCGAGCGUUGUCCGAAUUUAUUGGGCGUAAAGCGAGCGCAGGUGGUUUAUUAAGUCUGGUGUAAAAGGUAGUGGCUCAACCAUUGUAUGCAUUGGAAACUGGUAGACUUGAGUGCAGGAGAGGAGAGUGGAAUUCCAUGUGUAGCGGUGAAAUGCGUAGAUAUAUGGAGGAACACCGGUGGCGAAAGCGGCUCUCUGGCCUGUAACUGACACUGAGGCUCGAAAGCGUGGGGAGCAAACAGG
rnacentral:rRNA from 1 species